GGGUCAGGAGGUUGGUCGUGCCACCGGUACGUACUGGUCUCACUGAUUCCUCCUUCCUGAAGAACCGUAAUGCCAUUAAUGUGGUGUUGCGGGGAAACAGGACUGUUACUUUGAAAAAAUUAGAGUGUUUAAAGCAAGCUAACGCUUGAAUACAUUAGCAUGGAAUAAUGAAAUAGGACGAUCGAUCCUAUUUUGUUGGUUUCUAGGAUUGACGUA
rnacentral:rRNA from 1 species